UGCUGGGCUGCAGAACAGAAGAGCUGCUGGGAAUCUCAGUUAAAAACCCUCCCUGCCCCUUCCCAAGCAGCCCCCAACAGCUCUCAGCUUCUUUAUUUUAAAUCAAACAUUAUUCUUGGGGGUCCAGGAUACAUAUUUUGUGUGUCUGUUCCCACCCACAGAUGUGGGGAGAGGGCUGCCUUCCUCUGUAUAAUCUUUUUCUUUUUUUUUAUAAUUUGUUAUCAUUGUUCUGUUUUCCUUUAAAACUGUGUUUUGACCUGCCCAAAAGUGUUUUCUUUAGUGUUUGGUGGUUCUGAAAAUCUUCCUAAUGAAGCUGAGCUUUCAUCUCUGGCCAUGCAAGUGAAUAAUACUUCUGAAGUACUUGCAAGAGAAACAAUUUAUUAUCUAAAAAUAUUUAAAGCAAUUAUGCUAUUCUGGGUUAGGGGAAGUACAAAGUUUGUGCUUCUAUUUUUUUCCUACCCAAACAAUUUAAUAUGCAUUUUUUCAUUUCUGUCAUCCUGGUCAGAACUUCUCAAGGGCUUAUGUUGCAUUAAAGGCAUGAAUGAUGAAAAUAUUUGUUAUGGACUCAUAAACCUCACUUUGCAGAGUUAUGACAUGUUGCAGACUCACUUGUAAAUGGACAGAGAAUUUCUCAGCAACUCCCAGAGCUGUGACACCAUCAAGGAGCAGUUGCAAAGAAAGCUGUGUGCUGAAAACUGUGGUGAAGCAUAAAAUCAAAGAUUUUUUUUGCUAUUAAGUGACAAAUCUAAGAAUUAUUUAGUUUGCCAAUAUUUCACUGAUUCAGAAAAAUUUUCAAUAAAAUGUGAGAUGUGAUGGUUUUGACAGAGUUCUGCUGUCCUCCUCCAUCCCUGACUGGAUUUACUCUCCCAGAAGCCCUCAGUUUAACCAAACCUUUUUUGUUCCCUCCGUGUCAUUCCCAUUCAACCACAGGAAAUAAACAUCUGGACACAGACACCCUUCUGUUCCAUCAGCCAGGAGUGCAAGCAAGCACCAGGCCAAGUUCCCCAACCAAGGCAUUGUCCCUUGUCUCUGGUACGGAGGAGGGUAAAUAAAUCACCUUCUUUUAUGUACAAAUACCAUUUAUAUUGAAACUAUGCUGCAUUUUAAUAAAAGCACUAUAAGGUGUGCUGCUUUAAUCUGAAGAGGACACUGUCUUUACCUUUUUUUUUUUGUUACUUGAUAUAUUCCUAAGGGUGUGCUGCACAUUCAGCUGCUGGUUUACUGCUGACUGAGGACCUUUUGAAUUUUCAGCUGUCUUUGAUACCUGGUUUUCCUACUUUUGUGCUCAGGCUUUAAAGUGAACCCACCGGCUGAGUGCUGCAAAUGUGGAGUGGCUUCCUAAAUUCUCAUCUUGAGCCUCAUACGUGUGUAAAAGAUGUGCUGCUGCCUGCUCUAAGGGGUGGGCACUGUAACUGGGUGGGAAAGCUGAAGGCACUGCCAACAUCUGCCUGGCAUUAAGGCAGGCAGGUUUCAAAGGCAUUGAAACUGCCAAGUUCCUCUGGAAGUGAAUGGGUGUGUGCCAUCCCUUUGAACUCCUUGCAAAAUCCAGGCUCCGUUUGCUGGGAAAAGGAAGCUUAACCUUUUUGUGUCAGCUCCACCUCCUUCACCUCUUUAUGAUGCACUGAAAAGUAAUCCUGCACUUCCCUGAAAGAGUAGAUCUCCCUGAACACCCAUCCUGCCAGGAUGAGCCACUUCCAUGAGUCAUGGCUGUAGAGGCUUCCCAUCCUUUUGACUGAAAGUUGUUUAACAAAUUUCAUCUUAAAUGGAUCCUGAAUUAGUAACAGCCAGGCAGAUGUAGCUAUUCUGGUCUUGGGUGUCAAAAAAAGAAGUUUAAGAAAACCAAAAAAGGCAUUUUACACAUCUGAGCCUCUGGAAAGAUGAAGCCAGGGGGCUUCCCUGGGAGCAGAUCUUCUCCUCUGCCACUCAGGAUCCCAUCUCAGCAGCAUCAGCACCAUCUAGUCCCGUUACCUGCUGCUGGCUUGCAGCGCUGUGACACCCCGUGGCAUGCACAGCCAGCCCUGCUGGGAUGGAUUAUUGAUGCUGAGGAAAUGGGAGUGUUACAAGGGCUUUGUUCAGAGCUGCUGAGCCAAACAACAGUACAGAAGUAGCUAAAAGCAGGGAGUGCCCAUAAAUUCACAAAAGCGCUUGUUUAGCCAUUGAUUUAGAUGUCUGGCCAUUUAUUCUGAUGACCCAAACCUCCAGUCGUAUUUUUCUUGUAUUUGCAAUGGUGACUGUAAAUGUUGCAGGGAAUCAUGUGCUGAAAGCAGGACCUCAGAGGCAGCUGCAGAGGAGCAUUGCCUGGAAAGCAGCUCUCAGAGCCUUUCUGAGAGGGGAGUAGGGUGGAAAAGGAGAUUUGUGUGUCCCCAUGAACCUGUCCCCAGCCACCAGGGAAAACAGUGAGCAAAUCCUAUAGCUAAAGAAAUCUGUAAGGUUUUUGGGGCUCCUGUAGGUUGAUGUAAGCUGGCAUCCAGGUUGGAGAGGGUCCCCAGAGGCCUUGCAGGAGCUCCAGAGCGUGCAGCAGCUCCCAAGCACCGCCCUGUCUCUCCUUGUACCUGUCAGGGCCUGGGCCGCGCAGCAAGGCCGCUCACCGCAGAUUAUCAAAGUCAUAAAAAUGUCAGCUCCUGUAUUUCGGCUCUGAAACUGCACAUGCACAACACUCUCCUCACAUCCUGCUCUACCAGCAAGGGCUGCCUUUGGCUUUCUGCUUGGGUGACAAGCGGGGUGUUUCCCAUGCUCCUGGCACAGGGCCGUGCUUCAGGCCGCUCCCUGGCACUGCUGCCCUCACAGCUCCGUGUGGAGCUGGGGUCAGAGGGGCUGGGGGUGAAUGAAGUGCCUGGCGACCAUUGGAGGAUUUAAUUUGUCAAUAAAUGCUACAAAUACCAAAGCCACCUCCAUCUGCUGCUGUGACAGAAUAUGAUUAACAGAAAAAACCCAGUUCAAUCUUUGGAGACUUAAAGUGCUCACUCAAAUGCACUGAACAAGAGGAAUGCUUCAGCUCCAAUCAGCUCCCAUCUUCUUUGGAAAUGCUGGC